GAGGGUAUAGCUCGGUGGUAGAGUGUGUUCUUAGCAUGCAGGAAGUCCUGGGUUUAAUUCCUAGUACCUCCA
rnacentral:tRNA from 1 species